GCCAUUUUGUAUAAAACCUGGAAAGCCCAAUCUCUGGCACUCAUCACGGAUUCAGAGAUUAAAGAAACUAAUCGAAAUAUUUACUUGAAAAAAAUGAAGUCAUUGAUCGUUCUGUGCUGCGUUGUGAGUGUAAGCUUGGCCUUCCCAGGGAUAUUUUCAGCACUCAACAGAAGAGAAUCUACACCAAGUGUUGCAGAAGCUAUUAGAAAAACUACUUCUAUGGUAAACAAGAGAACAAUUGAAAAGAGAAUGGAUUCCGUACAAAUGGCUUUUCAGUGGAUUGACACUGACAACAAUAAUCACAUCAGUGGUGAAGAAUUUUCUACUUUUUAUGCUAAUGCUGAUAUACCUGGUCUUUCAUACAGCAAAUCCGAGUGGUUAACUAUGUUCAACCAAGCCAUGACUCUUAUUGAUACAAACGGAAAUAACCAAUUGGAAAUUGGAGAAUUUCGUACCCUAGCAAGUAUGGGAAUGGGAAAAUAAAGAAAAGGAUUCAUCGAUUGAGCACUCUCUUCAACUUUAACUAAUACACCGAUUGCAGAUUUGAAGAAAAUAAAUAAUCAUUAAAAGUUUCAUUUACAUCU